rnacentral:sRNA from 1 species
AUGCCAAAACGCAAAGUUUCGUACCUAAAAAGGUCGAUUUUCUGGCCCUGUGGUGACUGCAGACAGAACUGCUCCAAGAACUCAGUACAGUGUGACUCUUGCAAUUCAUGGUACCACUAUGACUGUCAACAGUUAUCAUUACAAGACGUCGAUUUCUUGGUAACAUCCAGCUGUUCUACGUUCUGUUGUUUGACCUGUUUGAAAGAAGAAGUAGGGUCAACCUACUCUUAUUCAUCUGGCUUACUUCGUCUUAAUUUGGUAAUUUAAUGUUUUAAUAUUAAAAAUAUUAUUGCGGCAUAUUUGCACAUUUUUUGUAAAUUUUUGUUUCGUACACUGAAUUUCUUAAUCUGUUGAAUCGGUUUAAUCUAUUUAUUACUUACGCGUGUCAGGAUUUGUUAAUUCAAAUGUUUAAUACUUAAUUGUUAAUUGCGAUUUAUGAUAAGUGAUUGAUUAUCACAUUUAACAUAUUUAUCAACGACGCGUGUCAAGUUUUUGAAAUUCAUCUUUCUUAUUAAGUUACGGAAUAUAAUAUGUUUAUGAAAUUUACAAUUUGGUAAUUUUAUAUUUUAAAUUUGACGUUGAAUUUGUUUUCUAUUUAUCACCGAGGCGUGGAAGGCUUUAUUAAUUCAAAAUGUAUAUAGCACAAUACUUAAUUGUUAAUUGCAAUUAAUCAUGGAUUAUCACCUUUAACAUAUUUAUCAACGUCCGACGCGUGUCAAGUUUUGUUAAUUCAUUUUUCUUAUUAUUUAAGUUACGGAAUAUAAUAUGUUUAUGAAAUUUACAAUUUGGUAAUUUUAUAUUUUAAAUAUUGACAUCGAAUUGGUUUUCAAUAUAUCACCGACGCGAUUAUUCAUGUUAAGUGGUGGAUUAACAUAUUUAUCACCGACACGUGUCAAGCUAUAUUUGGUUUUUUUUCUGUAUCAAUCUUAUAUCAUUACUUGCAAAACCUUUUGGAACUUAAUCUUAAUGGGGGGGGGAUGAAAUUAGGGUAAUUAAGUGAACAACAAUGAUAGAUCUUUUUGAAAAUAUUGAUGGUCCUUAAAAGGACCUUUGUAAAAUCCAUCAAGUUGAUAUUACUCAAUUUUUUCUUCAUCCUCAUCGCUGCUCAAUUCUGGUAGGUUGUCGAGGGCGUCUUCCAUUUGCCUGUCCUCCAAUUGGUCAAUUUCGUUAACCACCUUUAAUUUUCUAUACUGGUCACUUAGAACAUAGGUUUCAUUUGACAAUCUCUUCAAUUCUAACAUGCACUCAAUUUGUUCAUUGCGAUCUGUUCGCAUUGAAUAUUCAAUAGUUUGUAAAAUUCUUCACAAUAGAUAACUCACUGGAGUUUUUCCAAUAGAGUACGGUUGUUGACAAGUCCAUCGUUUUUUAAGACUGAUGACACUAUAUAUUAAGAUUCGAUAUUUAUUACAAACAUUGGAAUUUUGAGUAAACAAAUACAGCCUGUACAACAAAUUAUUCACAACAAGAAUCAAGUACCAGCAAUAGUGUGUUACACGGAAAACCAAAUAACAGAUUUGAGACAUUUUCUUGCACAAAAGUCCGAGCAUCCUCUUGGUGUUGAUAGAACAUUCAAUCUCAGAAGUUUUUAUGUCACAUCCAUUGUUUACAAGAACCUGCGGGUAAACAGAAAAGAAACAAAAGACCAUCCAAUCUUUGCAGGACCAAUGCUUCUACACAAGGAUGCGUCAUACAAAACAUACAGAGCCUUCUUUUCAAACAUUUCUGCCACACUUGAACUACCCAUUAAUAAUGUAGAACUUCGUCUCCAUGAGAAUAUAGAGUUUGGCAGUGAUGACGAAAAAGCUAUGACCAAGGCGAUAGAAAAUGCAUUCCCAACCGCCAAACGAAGAUUGUGCACAAAACAUUUAAAGGACAAUGUACAACAUUACCUUCAAGUCCGUGUUGGUGUUAGCACCCAAGAAAGAAAAACCAUCAUCAACACAAUUUUUGGAGAUCAAGGAAUUGCAAGCGCAGACGACACAUUGCAAUUUGCAAGGGCAGAUUCGGAGCUCAAGGACUUGUGCGCAAAUCAUCCUCAGUUCCUGAAAUAUUACGAACAAAGUUUUAAGCCACGAGUUCAAGAAUUCGUUAAUGCACCCAAUAGACGUUUGGGCACUAAGCAAAUGUGGACGAACAACAAUGCAGAAUCCAUGAACCGGGUGAUGAAAGUGGCAGUCAACUGGAAGCCCCAACAUGCACCAGAUUUGGUUGAUAAACUAUUUGACAUGGUGGACUUCCAGUUCAUUAAUCUUCGGUCAGCCCUUCAUCAUUCUGGGGACUACAUGCUGGUCAACUCAUACAAACAGUACACUAUAGCUGAUGCCAUCUGGAAAACAAAAUCAGACGAGGAAAAACGAAAACUCUUUAAUAGUUUCCUACAGGACAAUAAGAAAAGAAAACACGAAAAUAUCAUAACUUCAUCCGAUGGACUCUACUCUGUUGUCAACAAGGCUAAGUCAAUAGCCAAGAAACCUAUGCAGAGAAAGAGACCAAGAACAGAAAGAGCCGAAAAAAGACAUUAA